AGUAGUCGACCCGCUUUCGUUACCUGUGGAACAAAAUAACCCACCGUAACGUUUUGGAUCAUAAAAGGGACAACAGUGGGUGCCUUGUUUCCAAAAGUAUGGAUGUAACAACAGAUCAAAUUCGUGACAAACUAAUCAAGGAGUUCGGAGCGACACAUGUGGAGGUUGAAGACACAUCCUCUAACCAAUGUGCUGCCAGCUUCAAAGUUUUUAAAAUUUAUUUAUACCUUUAUUUAACUAGGCAAGUCAGUUAAGAACAAAUUCUUAUUUUCAAAGACGGCCUAGGAACAGUGGGUUAACUGCCUGUUCAGGGGCAGAACGACAGAUUAAAAUCUAAUAUAAUAAUUUGUUCUUAACUGACUUGCCUAGUUAAAUAAAGGUGAAAUAAAUUCAAGAUUUUCCUGGAAAAAUACAAGAAGAGGCCAGUACCAGGUCCUGUGGGCUGGUAGCCACCCUGCUGACCUGUGGGACAGUGACCGACCCUGUUCUGGGCUGCCAGGUCUUCAUGCCUGCUCCACGUGCUACUGUCUCAUCAAAUACACAGCAGAAAGGUGCACGUAUCCUUUUAUAUGCAUCUUGUGUGUCCACCCUGCGAUCACGAAUUCUGCUACAUUCUUAGAAACAAAGGCGCUAUCUAGAACACCAAUCAGGCUCCCUGAGGACUGGAAAUGCCCAGGCCUGUGACCUAUUGGGACACCUGAGGAACCCCCUCGGAACCCUUUUGUUCCCUAAGAGUGUAUGUCUGUUUGAGGAAAGGUGAGGAAUGCCCAAUGGGUAAACAUCUGUAGUAUAUACUGUAUCUGGGGUCUGUAAAGGAGCAAGGAUGUCUACCAGGCUGAGGUUUGCAGCAUGACUCGGUUGAGGUUUGCCCUGACGGUGAGAUGAGUCACGCCCUGGGUAUCUUGGUUCAAUCAUAGUAAUUAUAUGCCCCGUGGCUACAUUUACAUAUGCAGACAAAUGAUAAUAUUUUGCCUAAUUAUUGCUCUUUUGACAAAUCAGAUCUUUAGCUAAUAAUUGGAAAACAGAUCAGAAUUGGGCUCCAUGUGUAAAUGCAGCCCCUGUGUUUCCCAAAUGUGCAUUUAAAAAAAAAAAAGUGUGAUUAAAUGAACAGCUUUAUUCUGCCGUCCUGCUUUGCAUUGUGACUCACCUGCACAGUUACUGACUGAGUGCAGAGUGGGAGAAAGCAAAACCAGUCGGAGACAAAGACAUGACCCCGUCUCGGAGGAUGUGAGGAUUACUUCCACCACUUUUCUCCUCAUGCCCAGGCUCCCAUGCGGUAAAUGGAAGGAACAGCAUGGGAGAAGGAGAGAUGGGAGGAGACAGGAGGGAAGUGCUCCUCACGUUGUAUCCAUUUCACUGACGACCACUCUUCUUCUUCUCAGGGGGCUGAGAUGUUUUAAGCCCCAACAUUAGAUGGGCCCAAAAUGGAAUAUGAUGUUCAUGAUCAGGGUUUGUGGGUAGGUUACUUCCCAAAUGUAAUCUGUUACUAGUUACCUGUCCAAAAUUGUAAUCAGUAAUGUAACUUUUGGAUUACUCAUCUCUAAUGCUUCACCUCCUUAUUGAUUGGCAACUUGAGCUGGAGUUCUUAUUUGGAUUACUCAAACUCAGUAACGUAAUCUGAUUACAUUCCAUUACUUUUAGAUUACUUUCCCCUUUAAGAGGCAUUAGAAGAAGACAAAAAUAUAUGUGACCAAUUGAACGACAUCUGUUGCAGGAUAAAUCCAUGUUGAAGUUUUCAUAGCUGGCCUUAUAUGGGAUGUUCAAUUUUACUUUAUGGGUUGGUUAUGUAGGCUUCCUCUAACCCAUCGCUUUCUACUACAUAUAAUAAUACAUAAAAUUAUAUAUUUACAUUAAUAUACAGUAAAGCAUUUGUAAGUCCAAAAAUGUAUGUAGCAACUACAGAAUUACCCUUUAAGUCUAUAAAAUGUGUGCAAGUUUGAGCAUGUGUCCAUUAGGCCUGUGGAUUUUCUUUUUAUACCAGCAUGAAUUAGAUUGAGAAAUAAAAGCCCCACUUUUAUUCCAUAGGCUGGGAUCUACACUAUGCAACUGUUGUUCCAUAGGCUGGGAUCUACACUAUGCAACUGUUGUUUCAUAGGCUGGGAUCUACACUAUGCAACUGUUGUUCCAUAGGCUGGGAUCUGCACUAUGCAGCUGUUGUUCCAUAGGCUGGGAUCUUCACUAUGCAACUGUUGUUCCAUAGGCUGGGAUCUACACUAUGCAACUGUUGUUCCAUAGGCUGGGAUCUGCACUAUGCAGCUGUUGUUCCAUAGGCUGGGAUCUACACUAUGCAACUGUUGUUCCAUAGGCUGGGAUCUGCACUAUGCAGCUGUUGUUCCAUAGGCUGGGAUCUGCACUAUGCAGCUGUUGUUCCAUAGGCUGGGAUCUGCACUAUGCAGCUGUUGUUCCAUAGGCUGGGAUCUACACUAUCCAGCUGUUGUUCCAUAGGCUGGGAUCUACACUAUGCAACUGUUGUUCCAUAGGCUGGGAUCUACACUAUGCAGCUGUUGUUCCAUAGGCUGGGAUCUACACUAUGCAACUGUUGUUCCAUAGGCUGGGAUCUACACUAUGCAACUGUUGUUCCAUAGGCUGGGAUCUACACUAUGCAGCUGUUGUUCCAUAGGCUGGGAUCUACACUAUGCAACUGUUGUUCCAUAGGCUGGGAUCUACACUAUGCAACUGUUGUUCCAUAGGCUGGGAUCUGCACUAUGCAACUGUUGUUCCAUAGGCUGGGAUCUGCACUAUGCAACUGUUGUUCCAUAGGCUGGGAUCUACACUAUGCAACUGUUGUUCCAUAGGCUGGGAUCUUCACUAUGCAACUGUUGUUCCAUAGGCUGGGAUCUACACUAUGCAACUGUUGUUCCAUAGGCUGGGAUCUACACUAUGCAACUGUUGUUCCAUAGGCUGAGAUCUGCACUAUGCAACUGUUGUUCCAUAGGCUGGGAUCUGAUAUAUAAUAAUAAUAAUAUAAUAAUAAUAAUAAUAUAUAUUAUAUAUUAUUAGUUGCAUAUACUAUGCAACUGUUGCAAGAGCAUAUUUUUCACUGGCUGUCCAUUGGUUUCAAAAACAGUGAUUGACAGGCAGCUUAAACUUCUAUGAAUUCAACCAUUAUUGGGUUGAAAUACACAUUUAGAUUUGUGAACAGCUGUCCACAACAACCACAAUCUGUAAGGCAACAAACAGCUAAAUGAGA